rnacentral:rRNA from 1 species
GUUUCUAUCUAUGAAGUGUUUUCUUCCAGUACGAAAGGAUCGAAGAAAAAAGGCCCAUGCUCUAAGUAAACCUUAUUCCCACCUAAUGAAAACAACUCAAUUAGGCAAAAGACACACCACCUUGCUGAAGAUAAGCAGCU